GAUUGUUCCGGUAGCCGUGUGAUUAGAGCGUCCGCCUCGGAUGCGGGAGGUAGUGGGUUCGAUCCCCGGCUGAGUCA